rnacentral:lncRNA from 1 species
GCAACGUCUUCUUCAAAAGGCAAUGUGGCGUUAUGUGUAUUUGACAUUUACUGAAACGUAGACAGCUGGAAAAUAAUGGCCAUGGAAAAAGACAUUUGGGCUGUGAUAACAGGAUGUGUCUCAAUUUGGAAAUUUUCCUACUCAAUUUUUUUUUAAAAUUCUUUUCCCAUUUAGAAUCUUCAUCCUAUAGCUAGCUUUUAUUCAACUAGAACUGUACCUCUUUGUAAAAAUAUAAAUUGUCCUGUUUUUAUGUUGUUACAAAGUGUUUUGCAUGCUUCGAGACUUCUGAUGAUUUUUUGUGUUUGUUUUUGUUUUUUUAUUGCUUUUUUUUUUUUUUUUUUUUUCAACUUAACUUCCUCAGAAACUUUUCUCUUAAGCAUUGUUGACCAUGAAGGAACUUCUUCAACAAUUCCUGGAGGCACUGCCAAAGCAGAUCACAGGGAGCUGUGAAAAUCACUCUGGGACAUUAAUCCUGCUGUGAGCACUGUGCUAACCUGCCUCUGCUGCUCGCUGGUAUUACCAUGGCAUGGCUCUGCACGGUGUGGCACAGACGCGCUGGCUAUUUUAGAGGUACUUAGGUGUUUCUAGCAUAAUUUUUUCAUUUCCUGGAUUUAGACUCGUGUCUAACUAUCUGCUUUAUUUGGUGCCUAAUCAGCACCAGUACUGUAUUUUCCCAGUGUAACUUUCUCUAAAUCUGUCCAGUGCAUCAUAUGUUAACUGUCUAAACAAGCGUCUGUUUUAACGGGUCUGCUGUGUGAAAACUCAUGUUUACACACUGAAACUUCUGCCUUUCUACUAGCAGUUUCUGGAGAUAAAUGCCAGAAUUAGAUUGCUGUUGAAAAACUGACACAAAGAGGACACAAAGUCAAAGUAGAUUCUGUUGUGGGUGUUCUGAGUGGGUAUUUAAAAAGGGAAAAAACUGAUCAUCAAAAUGAUAUAUUGUACAAAAUCCUCUUGUACUUUCAGCUUUCAUUGCUGCUUCUGAAUGAUAUAUGUGCCGCUCAAAAAGCAAAGUGUCCUGAUUUAAUUCCCCCCGUACCCAUUUUUUUUUCUGUUAAAAUUAAACAAAACCAGUGGCAAUGGGAGUAAGGAUAGCUCUGCAAGUAGCUCUUUGCCAGAGAGAGUCAGCAAUGCCAGGGGAUUUGUGGGAUUUAUCAAAAGGAAUUUCUAUAACUCUCCAAUGGAUGUUGAUAGCAUGGUCAUGUAAUUUCAAACAGCAUUUUAAAUAUAAAUUAUAAAUUCUUCUUCUGGAAACAACCCUGCACUCUCAGAGCAUUACUAUGUUGUACCUGUCAUGUACCUGUAGGAUGUAGCUCAUGUCCCCAUCUUCAGAUUUUUACUGUCAUUUUUUUUCCCAGGGAUGUAUCCCUGAGCCUUCCACAAAGGACAGAAACUAAUACAACCAGCCAGCACAGAGCUGUAAUUCCAAUUCGUUCAAGAUGAAAUUUGCAAGUGUUUUUUGUGCAUGAAAUGAAAAGUCAUGGUGCACCCUUAUUUCAUCUCCAUCAAAUAAUCAACUGUUGCUGAAUAAAGUAAAAUAAAGCCUGCA